rnacentral:rRNA from 1 species
UACGGAGGGGGCUAGCGUUGUUCGGAAUUACUGGGCGUAAAGCGCACGUAGGCGGCUUUGUAAGUCAGAGGUGAAAUCCCGGGGCUCAACCCCGGAACUGCCUUUGAGACUGCAUCGCUUGAAUCCAGGAGAGGUGAGUGGAAUUCCGAGUGUAGAGGUGAAAUUCGUAGAUAUUCGGAAGAACACCAGUGGCGAAGGCGACUUACUGGACGAUUGUUGACGCUGAGGUGCGAAAGCGUGGGGAGCAAACAGG